GAAUGCAUCCGAUCUCAUCUGAUAUUAGAAGUUAAAC
ensembl:rRNA Gm25659 predicted gene, 25659